AUGGUUUACCAGAGCUUCAAUUUUUCCAAAGAUUUCGACUAACAAAACCAACAGUUUUACAUUUAUUAACGUUAAUUGAAGAACGCUUGGAAUUUCCUACAGACAGAAAUCAGGCGGUGUCACCUAUAAAUCAGCUGCUUACUACAUUACGAUUCUUUGCAAGCGGGGGCCAUUUGAGUACAGUAGCGGACUAUAUGGGAAUGCACAUCUCAACUGUGUCGAGAAUAAUUAGACGUGUAUCGGACGCUAUAGCAAGGCUUUACCACCAUUUUAUUAAGAUGCCCCAAACUCUCAUGGAGCAAAGGCUUAUUCAAAAUGGUUUUUUUGACAUCGCGAGAUUCCCUAGAGUGAUUGGGGCCAUUGAUUGCACUCAUAUCAAAAUUGAAUCACCAGGUGGAGAAAAUGCUGAAGUUUUUCGCAAUCGGAAAGAUUAUUUUUCAAUUAACGUUCAAGCCAUGUG